GGGGGCUUUGACAAAAAUACAGAAUUUGUACUUAAUGUUCCAUUUGUGCACUACAAUCCCACAUUCAAUAUUUGGCUUAACUGGAGUAUCUAUCAAACUGAG